UGAUUACGCUGGCGGCGUGCCUAACACAUGCAAGUCGAACGAGGUAGCAAUACCUAGUGGCAGACGGGUGAGUAACACGUGGUCAACCUUCCCUACAGUGGGGGAUAACUAGCCGAAAGGUUAGCUAAUACCGCAUAACAUCUACGAGUGGCAUCACAUGUAGAUCAAAGGAGUAAUCCGCUGAAGGAUGGGACCGCGCCCGAUUAGUUAGUUGGUGGGGUAAUGGCCUACCAAGACUCCGAUCGGUAGCUGGUUUGAGAGAGCGACCAGCCACACUGGGACUGAGAAACGGCCCAGACUCCUACGGGAGGCAGCAGUGAGGAAUUUUCCGCAAUGGGCGAAAGCCUGACGGAGCGACGCCGCGUGUGGGAAGAAGGCCUUCGGGUCGUAAACCACUGUCGAAGGGGAAGAUAAUGACGGUACCCUUGGAGGAAGCCCCGGCUAACUACGUGCCAGCAGCCGCGGUAAGACGUAGGGGG
rnacentral:rRNA from 1 species